UACGUAGGGGGCGAGCGUUGUCCGGAUUUAUUGGGCGUAAAGAGCUCGUAGGCGGUUCGGCAAGUCGGAUGUGAAAUCUCCAGGCUCAACCUGGAGGGGUCAUUCGAAACUGCCGUGACUAGAGUUCGGUAGAGGAGUGUGGAAUUCCUGGUGGAGCGGUGAAAUGCGUAGAGAUCAGGAAGAACACCGGUGGCGAAAGCGCUCUGCUGGACCUUAACUGACACUGAGGGACGAAAGCUAGGGGAGCGAAUGGG
rnacentral:rRNA from 1 species